GGGGCUGACUGGAUUUGACAGCAGGAUGAGGUGUUGUGUAAGCACGCAGAGAGUUGGUAGGCGCUCUCUAUAAUCUCUGAUUACCAAAAAUUUAAUUGGCGAAAAUUCUUACGCUCUCGCUGCCUAACCGAAGCACAGUAGGUUACUGGCCUAAUCUUAGCACUAGGUGUUAAGACGAGACAUCGCUCAGAAGCUGUUGUUCCGAAGCGUCUGAUCCAGCGGUGCAGGAAAAUCGGGAAUAGUCCUUGGAGAUGUCCCUAUCCUCGGAUGAAGUUCUUAGAGACUAAGGCAUUGGUUGGUGGUCCAGGUCUUGCCAAUGCACGAAAAUGAAGACUGGAAUAAGCGUGUAGAAAGCACAGGACGUCCCUGUUUGGACGAGGGUUCAAUCCCCUCCAGCUCCACUU
rnacentral:tmRNA from 1 species